rnacentral:rRNA from 1 species
CCUACGGGGGGCACCAGGCGCGAAACCUCCGCAAUGCGAGCAAUCGCGACGGGGGGACCCCAAGUGCCACUCUUAACGGGGUGGCUUUUCAUAAGUGUAAAAAGCUUUUGGAAUAAGAGCUGGGCAAGACCGGUGCCAGCCGCCGCGGUAACACUGGCAGCUCAAGUGGUGGCCGUUUUUAUUGGGCCUAAAGCGUUCGUAGCCGGUUUGAUAAGUCUCUGGUGAAAUCCUACAGCUUAACUGUGGGAAUUGCUGGAGAUACUAUCAGACUUGAGGUCGGGAGAGGUUAGAGGAACUCCCAGGGUAGGGGUGAAAUCCUAUAAUCCUGGGAGGACCACCUGUGGCGAAGGCGUCUAACUGGAACGAACCUGACGGUGAGUAACGAAAGCCAGGGGCGCGAACCGGAUUAGAUACCCUCGUAGUCC